rnacentral:rRNA from 1 species
GACGAACGCUGGCGGCGUGCUUAACACAUGCAAGUCGAACGGAAAGGCCCUGCUUUUGUGGGUUUCUCGAUUGCCGAAGGGGGGAGUAACACGUGAGUAACCUCCCCUUGACUUUGGGAUAACUCCAGGAAACUGGGGCUAUUACCGGAUAGGAUCUCCUGCUGCAUGGUGGGGGUUGGAAAGUUUCGGCGGUUGGGGAUGGACUCGCGGCUUAUCAGCUUGUUGGUGGGGUAGUGGCUUACCAAGGCUUUGACGGGUAGCCGGCCUGAGAGGGUGACCGGCCACAUUGGGACUGAGAUACGGCCCAGACUCCUACGGGAGGCAGCAGUGGGGAAUAUUGCACAAUGGGCGGAAGCCUGAUGCAGCAACGCCGCGUGCGGGAUGACGGCCUUCGGGUUGUAAACCGCUUUCGCCUGUGACGAAGCGUGAGUGACGGUAAUGGGUAAAGAAGCACCGGCUAACUACGUG